rnacentral:tmRNA from 21 species
CUGUCAGAAUGGAAUUGUCCACCUUUUGGCGGACUAGGUGAUCCACACCAGUGUCUCGGACAGCGGUUCGAUUCCGCUCAGCUCCAUUCCUCUUUCAGGUUUCUUGGGGCUGCAAUGGUUUCGACGGGGUAUGAGGAGGGUGACUGAAGCCUGCUCGGUAUGAGCAACUACGUAACUGCGAACAACAUCGUUCGUUUCUCCCGUCAGCCUGCCCUCGUGGCUGCCUGACCCUUAGGGGAGAUGGGGUGAGGUCAGCCUUAUCACCCAAAUGACUCAUGGGGGCUGGAAGGCCCC